rnacentral:lncRNA from 1 species
CGGCUGUGGUCCAGUGAAGGGCACCGACCCUCUGCUCUUUCCGUGGUUCCCACGGGCAGGUUCCCUUAGCUCAGAAGCGAACUGCAGGCAUCGGGAUGCGCGGGCGCUCGGGAGGGCCCCUUGCUGCAGAGCCAAGAGGAACUGGACGCCUUUCUGGAACGGCAGCGCCAAGGUGGACAGCACUCGCGCGUGAGCAAGUACGUACAAACGCCACCGAGGUCCGCAGACCAAACCUUGAGGCUCG